UUUAGAAAAGGAUGGGUUCCUGCCUUUCCUCUGGUCUGUGAGCCACCCCAUGAGGAGCCAGUGGAGGUGACAUCUUCAAAGACAACAAAUAAUUCCCAGCUGCCCAGAACAUCUCCCACACUUUGCUGCUGUUAAGCUGAGAAGUGGAUUCUUCACGACUACUUUGCUGUAUCUGAGUCCUGUGCAGCUUUGGCAGUGAGAGGGAGGACAACUCCAGGAACCUCAGGCAAAGCUCUCUGUAUCCUGCAACCAUUAAACCCUGACAUCAGGAUCUCACACCAAUGGCAUCCGCUUAACUUUCAGAUAGAGCCACAAGAGAAGGACACUAAGAGGUAGGAUCACAUGUUAGUUCUAACCAGAUAAUGUCCUAUGGAGAAUGCUUCAGCAGCUGGCCUCAAGAUCUGUCACCAACCUCUCUCUGAUGGUAGAAGAAAACCCUGUGACAGCUUCCUCCAUCCCCUUUUGGAGUUGAGUUGGAAGCCAGGCUCAUAACAUGUCUCCAGCCUUGGAAAGAGAAAGUAUUUCUUCAAAGUUCCAAAUCCACUGUCACAGCUGUGCAUGAAACUUGUCCUUGAUGGUCACUGGGUUCCCAGCACAUAAUGCCACUGCAGGUUGCUUUCAUGUGUCUACAUGAGCUCUCCCAGUGCCUUGUAGUGCCUUGCACAAAGCAGGCAUGACCUCUGCCCGAAGGAAUUCCACAAGGCAGUGAGAUGUCUAGCUGCUAGAAAAUCACCUGCAAUUAUUCACACCCUCAAAAUUGCAGGAGCAAAAUGAGACCCUGCUUUUCAAAAUCAGGUCCAUUAUGUGUCUGCAAAGUAUAUAAUCUCCACAUAAUUCAUCAACACCAUUAAUCUAAACUCCUAUGUACUGAGCUCAAUAGCGCAUGUGUUUUCCAUGUGUGUGUAAUAUCAAACAAACGUGUGUUUAACUUGU
ensembl:lncRNA